CCCCCUCGAGAUGAGAUUUCCCGUAUAGACCCCUUAAAGACGAUAAGGUAGAUAGGUCUGGUGUGGACGCGUGGUGACACGUGAAGCUGACAGAUACUAAUCGGUCGAGCGGUUUAUCC
rnacentral:rRNA from 1 species